rnacentral:rRNA from 1 species
UACGGGGGGAGCAAGCGUUGCUCGGAAUCACUGGGCGUAAAGGGUGCGUAGGCGGGUUUUAAGUCAGAGGUGAAAUCCUGGAGCUCAACUCCAGAACUGCCUUUGAUACUGAAAGUCGUUGAGUAUGGGAGAGGUGAGUGGAACUGCGAGUGUAGAGGUGAAUUCGUAGAUAUUCGCAAGAACACCAGUGGCGAAGGCGGCUCACUGGCCCAUAACUGACGCUGAGGCACGAAAGCGUGGGGAGCAACAGG